UACGUAGGGGGCAAGCGUUGUCCGGAAUUAUUGGGCGUAAAGAGCUUGUAGGCGGUUUGUCGCGUCUGCUGUGAAAUUUCGGGGCUCAACCCCGAACUUGCAGUGGGUACGGGCAGACUAGAGUGUGGUAGGGGAGACUGGAAUUCCUGGUGUAGCGGUGAAAUGCGCAGAUAUCAGGGGGAACACCGAUGGCGAAGGCAGGUCUCUGGGCCACUACUGACGCUGAGAAGCGAAAGCAUGGGGAGCGAACAGG
rnacentral:rRNA from 1 species